GGAGAAUCUCAGCUGAUCUGGGACGCAGAUGUCUGGAAUCCUGGACAUGUCUGCAUGGUGCUGCUCUAGUUGGUGAAAAAUCUUGCAAUCCCUAAAAAUCCUUAAACAUUUAUUCAUCUUCAAAUAGAAUUUGGAAAGUUGUGGAGAUUUUUCUGAUUCCUUAAACCAUUUUUUGCAGAAGAUCGUGUACAAAUAAUCUACACCAAUAAGACUGGGAAGAAGAAAAGAGAACAACAAAAGUGCAUUCUGACCUCUAAUGCCAGGAAACAACUCAAUAAAUGGACAGAACGCUCUUCAUAAAUAUGGAAAGAUCCAGACCUCUCUAGUGUCUAUAAAACUGUAAAUGACCACAGUCUGCAGCUGGAAAAGCCUGAUGACUGGCAAGAGACCCAGUGAGGAUGGAAAAACCAAGCUGUGUUAUUAAAAGGUACAAGACAUCAAUCCCAAAUCACUGAGAUGAUGCAAAUAACUUAUUGUAUUUUUUAAUGUUUCCUUUAAUUGAACAGCUUUGUUCAUGCUUUGUUGCUAUGUGAAGAUAAGCCAGAACAGGGGAGAAAGCACAUUUGGAGUUGCUAUUUCUCUAAUUGCCAAUGAAAUCUACACCGUCCAAGCUGGUGAGCAAAAGUGAUCUCUGCUUUGUUAUUUCUCUUCAUGCUCUUUCUUGUAGAUAAUAUUGAAAAAAAUGCUUUGGUUUUAUAUUACCUUUACAUGUAUGGAACAGUCAAGCAAACUUACCCUGUCAAAGUUUGUGAUAAUCCCUUCUAAAAAAUUUACUCAAUCUGCAUGAUGUACAAUUAAUACUGUAAUUUAGUUUUACUUUCUGGUUG